GGCGGUGUAGCUCAGUUGGUCAGAGCAGGCGGCUCAUAUCCGCCGAGUCCGGGGUUCAAGUCCCUGCACCGCCACCA
rnacentral:tRNA from 1 species